UACGUAGGGGGCUAGCGUUGUCCGGAAUCAUUGGGCGUAAAGCGCGUGUAGGCGGCCCGGUAAGUCCGCUGUGAAAGUCGGGGGCUCAACCCUCGAAGGCCGGUGGAUACUGUCGGGCUAGAGUACGGAAGAGGCGAGUGGAAUUCCUGGUGUAGCGGUGAAAUGCGCAGAUAUCAGGAGGAACACCCAUUGCGAAGGCAGCUCGCUGGGACGUUACUGACGCUGAGGCGCGAAAGCGUGGGGAGCAAACAGG
rnacentral:rRNA from 1 species